GACGAACGCUGGCGGCGUGCUUAACACAUGCAAGUCGAACGGAAAGGCCUCUUUCGGGGGGUACUCGAGUGGCGAACGGGUGAGUAACACGUGAGUAACCUGCCCUUGACUUUGGGAUAACUUCAGGAAACUGGGGCUAAUACCGGAUAGGAGCUCCUGCUGCAUGGUGGGGGUUGGAAAGUUUCGGCGGUUGGGGAUGGACUCGCGGCUUAUCAGCUUGUUGGUGGGGUAGUGGCUUACCAAGGCUUUGACGGGUAGCCGGCCUGAGAGGGUGACCGGCCACAUUGGGACUGAGAUACGGCCCAGACUCCUACGGGAGGCAGCAGUGGGGAAGAUUGCACAAUGGGUGGAAGCCUGAUGCAGCAACGCCGUGUGCGGGAUGACGGCCUUCGGGUUGGAAACCGCUUUCGCUCAUGACGAAGCUUUGUGUGACGGUAGUGGGUAAAGAAGCACCGGCUAACUACGUG
rnacentral:rRNA from 1 species